rnacentral:rRNA from 1 species
UACAGAGGUCUCAAGCGUUGUUCGGAUUCAUUGGGCGUAAAGGGUGCGUAGGUGGCGCGCUAAGUCAGGUGUGAAAUUUCGGAGCUUAACUCCGAAACUGCAUUUGAUACUGGCGUGCUUGAGGACUGGAGAGGAGACUGGAAUUCACGGUGUAGCAGUGAAAUGCGUAGAGAUCGUGAGGAAGACCAGUGGCGAAGGCGGGUCUCUGGACAGUUCCUGACACUGAGGCACGAAGGCCAGGGGAGCAAAACAGG